GACGUAGGGCGCGAGCGUGUCCGGAUUUAUUGGGCGUAAAGAGCUCGUAGGCGGCUUGUCGCGUCGACUGUGAAAUCCCGCGGCUCAACCGCGGGCCUGCAGCCGAUACGGGCAGGCUAGAGUUCGGGUAGGGGAGACUGGAAUUCCUGGUGUAGCGGUGAAAUGCGCAGAUAUCAAGGAGGAACACCAGUGGCGAAGGCGACUCCUGGCCUGUUCUUGACCGCUGAGGCGCGAAAGCUAGGGUAGCAAACGGG
rnacentral:rRNA from 1 species